AAUAGAUACCCUGGUAGUCCACGCCGUAAACGAUGUCGACUUGGAGGUUGUGCCCUUGAGGCGUGGCUUCCGGAGCUAACGCGUUAAGUCGACCGCCUGGGGAGUACGGCCGCAAGGUUAAAACUCAAAUGAAUUGACGGGGGGCCCGCACAAGCGGUGGAGCAUGUGGUUUAAUUCGAUGCAACGCGAAGAACCUUACCUGGUCUUGACAUCCACAGAACUUUCCAGAGAUGGAUUGGUGCCUUCGGGAACUGUGAGACAGGUGCUGCAUGGCUGUCGUCAGUUCGUGUUGUGAAAUGUUGGGUUAAGUCCCGCAACGAGCGCAACCCUUAUCCUUUGUUGCCAGCGGUCCGGCCGGGAACUCAAAGGAGACUGCCAGUGAUAAACUGGAGGAAGGUGGGGAUGACGUCAAGUCAUCAUGGCCCUUACGACCAGGGCUACACACGUGCUACAAUGGCGCAUACAAAGAGAAGCGAACUCGCGAGAGCAAGCGGACCUCAUAAAGUGCGUCGUAGUCCGGAUUGGAGU
rnacentral:rRNA from 1 species